CAAAAUGACAACAACCCAAGAGAGCAGAGGGAUGGUUUUCUUCCUACAAUGAAAUGUGUAGUGAAAAAACAGCAAGACAAGGGGUUUUAAGUUGAAGGAUGGAAGAUUUUGGUUGGAUAUCAGGAUAUCAGGGGGAAGUUCUUUACUAUGAGAGUGGUGAGGUGCUGGAACAGGCUGCUCAGAGAGGUUGUGGAUGCCCCAUCCCUGGAGGUGUUCAAGGCCAGUUUGGAUCCAGGCCCUGGAUAGCCUGCUCUAGUAUUAGAUGUGGAGGUUGGUGGCCCUGCCUGUGGUGGGGGGGUUGGAGCUUCAUGAUCCUUGAGGUCCCUUCCAACCUGGGCCAUUCUGUGUGAUUUAUUAUAGAAAAAAGUCACUAUUUCUCCAGUGUCCUUUGGUCCAACACAAUCAUCUCUAAGAAUGAAUGCAGUCUCUUCUUCUAUCCUUAAUUACCCUCGGGAGUUUUGCUAAACAUUUGAAGGAACAGGCAAAUGUGACAGUAUCACAGUGUCCCUCAUGUUAUGCUGAGGCAGUAGCCAGAGGCAAGCCACAUUGAAAUUCUCAAUUGAUUUCCAAAAAGCUAUCUUGUUUUUUUCUGAUUCCUCAUCUGUCAGAUAGAAGAAAAAUCACCUGUUUCUAAUUUCUGACAAAAGAACAAGGAGACUUUUGUUCUAGAGUGUAAUGAUUUCCACUCGUGAAUUCUGCUAAAAAGCAAGGAAAACAAGCAGUAUGAAAAAGCGACAGUAGCUCAGCCGAAGACAGGCAAAGGCCCUCCUGGCUCAGUGCAGCACUUCCCUUUGCCUUCCUUUCCAUGUGUGAUGCUCACAGCAGAUUCAUCUGCUGAUUUUCUAACUCCACACAGCUCCAGAGUAAUUGCACUACAGCCAAACAAAUUACUCUAGGUUGACGAGAGCAUAAGUCAGAACUAAAUCCAGCCUAUGCUUUUUACUUCAUAUAGUAUAAAAUAAAUAAUGGAAUCCAAUUAUACAAUAACUCAUCAAACAGGUUUUCUACACUGGUAGGUGGGUAUUUAUAGCAUCUCAUGCUAUUAACAGAAUAAACCUGCACACAUCAAUUAACUUAGAUUUAAAUCUCUCAGCUUCAUCUGGCCAAGAGCAAGGAUCUGAGCAGACCAAAACCAAGUGCCAAGCAGAGACAUUCUGCCGGAUGCUGCUGAAAGGAGCUCAGCAUGAAGCUGAGCUUGGCGUUGUGCAGGAGCAGUGCUGACAGCUGAAAGGAUCUGUGAUCCUCCAGCAAAGCAGUCAGAGAGGCAAAUUCAAAGAGUGUGACCCACAGGAAUUUGAAAUAAAGCCAAGAGGCAAAAAGCAAAACUGAUCAACCAACAAAACAUCACAAAGCACAUUUGUAAAUCUUACUAGGCCCUGGGAAGAAUAAAACUUUCUCAGAGCAGUGAGGAAACAAGUGGCCCUGGGAAAAGCUGUGGAGAGUCUUAGGUUUGGGGCUAGUGCUGUCCUUGCCCCACAGUUGCAGCUGUAGGAAGCAAGAAGUUCUGGACUUCUAAAGCAACUCCCAGGAGCAGUAUUCGGCCUGGUGACUGUAGGAGAUGCUUCAAUUUCAAGGUAUUCAGCUUGGGAAAGAUCAGCAAAGUGUUUUGUUUUAGGAAAUCUUUCACCUCCUUAGAAGAAGGCAGCUUGCUGAUUUCACCUGAGGGCAACGAGGAACACAUGGUGACCAUAGAACAGCCCACACUCAGGAGACCAGGUGCUAGGAUGUCAUUGAUAAAUGAACCAGACACCAUCUCAGGUAAGUAACUCCUUUGCAAGGAAGUGGGUACAGCUCUAGAUAUCCUACUCACAUGCACCUACUCCUCAGGCUAUUCUGCUGGCUGGACAACUAAUGAAAUGAGCAGCAGCCUCAGGAUUAAGGGGAAUGUCAGAAUGCGAGUGAAACACUAAACUUUAAAGUCUGUGAAUGAAAUGCAGGAGGGGGAAAAGUAAAGAACUGGAAAAAGUCUGCUUUGUUUCUCAGUUACUUUUAUAGUCUUGGUUCCUGUACUGACAGAUCCAUGUGUUCAAAUAAUCUUCCUGGAAAAAAUAAGGAAGAGGAAAAAAAAAAACCAGCAUUGCAGAAAAUAUACAGGACUCUUCAUACCUGAAUUCUUUAAAAGAAGGAGGACUUAAUGACAACAUGCCCUGUGGAAACUAGGACAUCCAAAUGAUCUUCAGCAAUCGUUUCACUUGACUGAGGAGCCUACUGCACAUUUGCAUUUCAGCAGUGGCAAUAGGAGAACUUCAGCUCUUAUUUUUAAUGAAGAGAGACGGAGAUAGUGCACAGAUGUUGGUAAUUAAAAUCUCAGCUCUAACAAGGAAGGAAGGACAGAUGGAGAGACAGAUUCACCAACCAGCUAGCUGCAUGAUUCCUGCUGAUUAAAUUCUCCAAGAGCAGUAUCCAAAGAAUGAAAGUGAAUUGCAAGAUGAGAUCCACGCCUUGAGCAGCCUGUUGCAGGUACCAAUGAAGUAAGUUAAUAAACACACACGCCAGCUUCGCCUUCCAUGAAGAAACAAGCACAUUAAGACUUCCAUGGGUGCUUCACAGCACAAGACAGAAUAUUAAAAUUAAGCAGCUAGGAUUCUCUUAUCCUGAACUGGAUCUAGUUUAGCACCCAGACAUGUGAUUUGGUGGAUUUAUUUGAGCUCUUAAUUCUCCCCAUCCACCUUUCUGAAGGAAGUAACCACUUUACUAGGUCAGUUGCUUAAAUAGUUUGAUAAUUAGUGCCUUAGUUACCUUCUUCAUUUUCUGGCAUCUUAAUACAAAUGCCAUCCAUGAGUGAUUCUGUGUUUUGUACUCAGCCUGUGUGGACAUUUUAAUCUGCUUUCUUUACUACUUAUAUUUAUUACAGGACCUUGGGUAAAACCUUAAGUACCCUCAUGCUUUAGUUUUUCAGUCUGUAUAACAAAAAUAUGAGGCCCAUAGUGUACAAAUCCUUUUUCCACAUUUAGUUUAGUUCAAAAAUGAAAUCAGAUUUGAAAGCUGUCUGUUUUAUAUGCAGGAAAUGUUUCAUAUUCCUUUAAAGCAAUCUCUUAGGAGUGUUCUCAAAUGAGAUCAAAUGCCUUAAGAAAAAUUCUCCCCAGUGCUUACUGGGCACUUGCCUACACAGAAAGGUUUUUUUUUUU